UGCAAGUCGGACGGCAGCGCGGGCUUCGACCUGGCGGCGAGUGGCGAACGGGUGAGUAAUACAUCGGAACGUGUCCAGUAGUGGGGGAUAGCCCGGCGAAAGCCGGAUUAAUACCGCAUACGAUCUUUGGAUGAAAGCGGGGGACCUUCGGGCCUCGCGCUAUUGGGGCGGCCGAUGGCGGAUUAGCUAGUUGGUGGGGUAAAGGCCUACCAAGGCGACGAUCCGUAGCUGGUCUGAGAGGACGACCAGCCACACUGGGACUGAGACACGGCCCAGACUCCUACGGGAGGCAGCAGUGGGGAAUUUUGGACAAUGGGGGCAACCCUGAUCCAGCAAUGCCGCGUGUGUGAAGAAGGCCUUCGGGUUGUAAAGCACUUUUGUCCGGAAAGAAAUCUUCUGAGCUAAUACCUCGGGAGGAUGACGGUACCGGAAGAAUAAGCACCGGCUAACUACGUGCCAGCAGCCGCGGUAAUACGUAGGGUGCGAGCGUUAAUCGGAAUUACUGGGCGUAAAGCGUGCGCAGGCGGUGAUGUAAGACCGAUGUGAAAUCCCCGGGCUUAACC
rnacentral:rRNA from 1 species